GGGUCAGUUGUAGUGGGCUGGGUCGACCCAGUUGAGUUGUAAAACGGGUCUUUGUUUUCCCCUAGGUCUAGCAGCCGUACACCAUGAGGAAUUGAACGGGAAAAUCACUAUUCAUGUACGAAUUUGAGAGUUUGCAAAGAAUGACUAUGGAGAACUAAUUUCCCAAGAAUCAAUUCACUUUAAUCGGAUGCCACUUUGAGGUUCUUUUAUAAUUUUCCAUUAAUUUGUUCCUUUGAAUUAUAUCUAUAAUCACAAUUACUUGCUUAAUUUAAUUGUUUUUACAUGAUAGAAUUCUU
rnacentral:lncRNA from 1 species